CGUGGGCCCGCAGUCGAGAUUCUACGGGAGGCAGCAGUGGGGAAUCUUGCGCAAUGGGCGAAAGCCUGACGCAGCAACGCCGCGUGCGGGAAGAAGGCUUUCGGGCUGUAAACCGCUUUCAGCAGGAACGAAAAUGACGGUACCUGCAGAAGAAGGAGCGGCCAACUAUGUGCCAGCAGCCGCGGUGAUACAUAGGCUUCAAGCGUUGUCCGGAUUUAUUGGGCGUAAAGAGUUCGUAGGCGGUCGAGUAAGUCGGGUGUGAAAAUUCUGGGCUCAACCCAGAGACGCCACCCGAUACUGCUUAACUUGAGUUCGAUAGGGGAGUGGGGAAUUCCUAGUGUAGCGGUGAAAUGCGCAGAUAUUAGGAGGAACACCGGUGGCGAAGGCGCCACUCUGGAUCGACACUGACGCUGAGGAACGAAAGCAUGGGUAGCAAACAGGAUUAGAUACCCUGGUAGUCCAUGCGGUAAACGGUGGGCACUAGGUGUGGGUUUCUAUUAACGAAAUCCGCGCCGUCGCUAACGCAUUAAGUGCCCCGCCUGGGGAGUACGGUCGCAAGACUAAAACUCAAAGGAAUUGACGG
rnacentral:rRNA from 1 species